rnacentral:rRNA from 1 species
AAAUUGAAGAGUUUGAUCAUGGCUCAGAUUGAACGCUGGCGGCAGGCCUAACACAUGCAAGUCGAACGGUAACAGGAAACAGCUUGCUGUUUCGCUGACGAGUGGCGGACGGGUGAGUAAUGCCUGGGAAACUGCCUGAUGGAGGGGGAUAACUACUGGAAACGGUAGCUAAUACCGCAUAAUGUCGCAAGACUAAAGAGGGGGACCUUCGGGCCUCUUGCCAUCGGAUGUGCCCAGAUGGGAUUAGCUAGUAGGUGGGGUAACGGCUCACC